ACACGGAAAGGAGGUGGUCCGAGAAAUGAAGUCUUUUCGGAUGAGUGAGGUGGCUGCCCGCUAGGCAGCACCAGUCGUCGACGUACUGCCGGCGAAUCCAACGCAGUCACCCGACCCGCAGGCCCCGGAAUUCAUCCCCCGGAUCGCCCCCCAUGAGGGGCAGGCCUGCGGGUCGCUGCCA
rnacentral:sRNA from 1 species